rnacentral:rRNA from 1 species
UACGGGGGGAGCAAGCGUUGUUCGGAUUUACUGGGCGUAAAGGGCGCGUAGGCGGUCAGCACAAGUCAGUUGUGAAAUCUCCGAGCUUAACUCGGAAAGGUCAACUGAUACUGUGCGGCUAGAGUGCAGAAGGGGCAACUGGAAUUCUUGGUGUAGCGGUGAAAUGCGUAGAUAUCAAGAGGAACACCUGCGGCGAAGGCGGGUUGCUGGGCUGACACUGACGCUGAUGCGCGAAAGCUAGGGGAGCGAACGGG